rnacentral:rRNA from 1 species
GAUGAACGCUAGCGGCAGGCCUAAUACAUGCAAGUCGAACGGUGUCUUCGGACAUAGUGGCGCACGGGUGCGUAACACGUAUGCAACCUACCUUACAUUGGGGGAUAGCCUUUCGAAAGGGAGAUUAAUACCGCAUAAGACAGUAGCUGGGCAUCCAGCAGCUGUUAAAGAUUUAUCGAUGUAAGCUGGGCAUGCGUCCAAUUAGCUAGUUGGUGAGGUAACGGCUCACCAAGGCAAUGAUUGGUAGGGGAACUGAGAGGUCAAUCCCCCACACGGGCACUGAGAUACGGGCCAGACUCCUACGGGAGGCAGCAGUAGGGAAGAUUAGGCAAUGGACGAAAGUCUGACCCAGCCAUGCCGCGUGCAGGAUGAAGGCGUUAUGCGUUGUAAACUGCUUUUAUACAGGAAGAAACGACUCUUGCGAGAGGCAUUGACGGUACUGUAUGAAUAAGCACCGGCUAACUCCGUGCCAGCCGCCGCCGUAACAC